GUAGUCCACGCUGUAAACGAUGUCUACUAGCCGUUGGGAGACUUGAUUUCUUAGUGGCGCAGCUAACGCUUUAAGUAGACCGCCUGGGGAGUACGGCCGCAAGGUUAAAACUCAAAUGAAUUGACGGGGGCCCGCACAAGCGGUGGAGCAUGUGGUUUAAUUCGAUGCAACGCGAAGAACCUUACCAGGUCUUGACAUCCUCGGAACUGCCCAGAGAUGGGCGGGUGCCUUCGGGAACCGAGAGACAGGUGCUGCAUGGCUGUCGUCAGCUCGUGUCGUGAGAUGUUGGGUUAAGUCCCGUAACGAGCGCAACCCUUGUCCUUAGUUGCCAGCACGUCAUGGUGGGAACUCUAAGGAGACUGCCGGUGACAAACCGGA
rnacentral:rRNA from 1 species